UACGUAGGGGGCAAGCGUUGUCCGGAUUUAUGGGGCGUAAAGAGCGUGUAGGCGGCCAUGUAGGUCCGUUGUGAAAACUCGAGGCUCAACCUCGAGACGCCGAUGGAAACCAUGUGGCUAGAGUCCGGAAGAGGAGAGUGGAAUUCCUGGUGUAGCGGUGAAAUGCGCAGAUAUCGGGAAGAACACCCGUGGCGAAGGCGGCUCUCUGGGACGGUACUGACGCUGAGACGCGAAAGCGUGGGGAGCGAACAGG
rnacentral:rRNA from 1 species